UACGUAGGGUGCAAGCGUUGUCCGGAAUUAUUGGGCGUAAAGAGCUCGUAGGCGGCUUGUUGCGUCGACUGUGAAAACCUGCGGCUCAACCGUGUGGUCUGCAGUCGAUACGGGCAGGCUGGAGUUCGGUAGGGGAGACUGGAAUUCCUGGUGUAGCGGUGAAAUGCGCAGAUAUCAGGAGGAACACCGGUGGCGAAGGCGGGUCUCUGGGCCGAUACUGACGCUAAGGAGCGAAAGCGUGGGGAGCGAACAGG
rnacentral:rRNA from 1 species